UGUGUGUUUCGCUCCACAUUGGAAGUUACUUCCGUAUUUACUUUCAGCCCAGAUGCAUUAGGUUUUUCUUGUGGUGCUUUGAAAAUUUGCUGAUGGGGAGAAGCACUGAGAUAUAAAUUGCCUGGGAAGAAAAAAAAGGAUAAUCAAAAAGUCUUGGCAAACAGCUUAGGCUAGGAGUGAUUCGUAGUGGAGUUGGGUUUGGGAAGUAAAAGUAAUUCUACUUAGACUGUAGAGAUUGUAUUCUUUCUGUCAGUAGAGAUGAGUCUGCUGGAUUUGGUACUGAGCAGCUGUCAUGGUGAGUGACAAGCUAAACUGGCAAGUUAUAAGAAGGGGAAAUCAUCUUCCUCUUCUUCCUGUCUGUUCUUCAUCAAAAGCAAAUGAACAGUUUCUUAUGCUGACUUGAAGACAUCAAAGAAACUGAUUCUUCAUGCACUAGAAGAAAAACGGGUGCUGCUCUAGCUACAGUUGGGUGACUUCUAUUCCUGUAAUGGGCUUGGAUCCAUAGCUGCUAUGCUCAGCUUUACUAAUCAGAUUUCUUUCCUUUAAAAUUGUAGGAGAAGCCACCCACCUUAGCAAGAGUGCAUUUGUCCUAAAGGAUUUAUUGUGAAGAAGGAAACUUGCCGAGUUCAAAGUCAGUACUUGGUAUUAUCAGGUUAGCCUCUCGCUCAAUGGUGUUUGACUCCAAGACAAACAAGUCUCAAAUGUUGGUAGCAAUCCAUGUUUUAAACAUGAUAAUCCAUCUUUUUAUAUGAAGGGUGUCAGCUUUUUUUCUGAAGAAUAGGAUGAUAGUGUAGAGCCAAAGCAAUAACUCCUACAUGUUACAGGAGAAGAUCCCUUAGCACAUAAAAUGUCCAGUUUUGAUACAGUCUUCCUCUCUUUUAUGAUCUGUCCUUGUGGUCCAGAUACAUUUUUUUUUUUUAUAAGUACUACACAAAUAUAAAAUAAUAGUCUGUUUUCAAAGAUGUGCACCUUAUUUGCAGUCUCAAGGGUUUGAAGAAGCACCUAGAUCUACCUUUAUUCUUUUAAGUUCUGUGCUGGAGCCUAAGCCCCAUUAAAAAAAAAAAAACAAACCCAAACUAAAAAACAAGCUAUCCAGAAGCUAUGGUGUAACUGCUGAGCGGUGACUGUGGCUUGUCAUGCUAUUUACCGUGAUCUUGUUAUUUUGUUCUCCCUUUGUCCAUUUGUUACCUGUGAGCACACUCACAACUCUGGCUCAGGAAUUUGCUAUAAAUUAAUUUAAUAACUUAAUGUCACUUUCUGAGAGAAAACUAAGUUAUUGUGCCUUUAGCUAGAAAACCCCCAUCAUAAACAACUCCCUCUCCCCACAACAAAACAACCCAAACAUCAAACAAUAUGGAUUUUUCUUUUUUGUUGGUAUGUGUAUGUUUGCUGCAAGAAGAAAUUGGCCAUAUAAGAAGAUAGAAAAUCUAAUUAGACACAAAAAUCCCACCAGAUGUGCAAAACACAUGAAAAAAUAAAUUCUCCUUUUAUGUUUUAAUAGCUUAAGGGGAUACCUGUAACUAGAGGAAAUGGAAAAUGUGAUUUCUGUCUUCAAAUUAAUGUUAUUUCUCUAAAGCUGGGAUUUUGAAUAUACUAAAAAUCACAGAGAAUACUGUCUUUAUGCAGGUAUGACUGCUCAGCCUGUGCAUUUAAAAAAAUAACAUUAUUUCUGUGUGUGGCUUAGAAACAGAGAUCCUCACAAUCAAUUCAGUUGGAAGAUUUGUGUUUUCUUCUUGCUGCUCUACUUGUGAUAUUAUGUAUUAAUUGCUGCGGUACCUUGCAUCCUCACAGACUGAGGCUUUGAGACAAAACGAGAAAUUACCUUAUGUUUAAAGAGCUAUUGCGCAAGCUGUAGAUAAAACAUUUACCAAGAAGAAAACAAAAGGAGGGAGGAUGGCAAUGGGAAGAUAAUGUUGAUUAUGGUACAGUUGGGACAGCAGGUGUGGACACAGGCUCUGGUGGGAGCUCACUUCAGGUAGCACCACAGCCCUGGCAUCCCACUCUGAGCAGCUACUCCUUCACAAAGGGCAAGGCACGUGUCUCUCUAGCUGUGUUGCUAGCUAGAGUCCUUCAGUGACCUGCACCUUUGCUUUCGGUCUGUGUGCCUGAUGCUGGGAAGUUCAGAGGACCACAGCAGCAGUCCACUUGCAUUUAAUGAAAACCAGUAGACAAAGGCAUGUUGAAAAUCAGCAACAGAAAUACAAAACAGCUGGAUUGCCCUUCUGAAGGUGGUGGGUACCAUGAGGAAUAGAGCCGGGCAGUCAUUAGUGCAUGAGAGCUAAAAUUUAACAUAGAUGCAAUUUGGAAACUGGGGACGUGAUCGUUUGAUGGUAGGCAAAGUAAAUAUCUACAAUGCCGUGAGGAGUAGUAUAGACUGUAUAUUAAGGUUAAGUAUAUAAGUAAUUGAAAAAGACCAAUGCUAAAUGAGCUUUUCAUUUUUUUUAAUGCAAUCUGAACUCUCAGUGGGAUAUCUUCUGAUUUGAGGUGGUUUGUUUUUUUAGGCUCUAUUCCAGAUAUAGAUUUGUAUAGUUUGUUUCCUUGUGAAUUGUGUUUUUGCAUACUGAUACCUAAGUACUGAUGUCUAGGCCACAUACAACUAUGCUUUAGUAACUUUUCCUAUUUUUUCAUCAAAAGUGGAAAAUUGCAGGUCAGCUAUUUUUAUAGCAUUUUGUAUACUAAGGGGUGACCUUUUAGUUGUGAUGUGAGAGAAUUAAAAAAUACUGUGUGCAUAGAGAAGUGGUGAUACAGCAUGAACAGGUCUUGUACUCUCUAAAAUUUACGCUACAUUUUUAAUAUGAAUAUAAACUUUUUAAAAGAAAAUAAUUUUGAACUAAAAGCUCACCAUGGGAAAUGUGACCCUGCCCUGAAGAGGAUUUGCAAACUAUUGACCACAUUUGAAUAGCAGAAAUAGAAAAAGCAUCUUUUUUUUUUUUUUUUUUUUUUGCUGGCCUGCGGGUUUUUUUGGCAUAGCGAUUAUUGUGUUACACCAUCACGUAACUUAAAUGGAAACAUUCAAAAUUUAAUUUGGACUUGAACUAUUCAUAGAAGAGCUGAUUGUCAUGUAGUAUUUAACUUAUACACCCACAAUUAAUACUGUAUUAGACUGAGAAGGUGUUCUAAACUCCAAAUUAUAAAUAUAGAAUGUUCAUUGCAAUAUAAACAAAAUUCAGAGGGUAUUUCAUAGGAUUCUGUUUUUAAACACCUUUUAUAAGAAAAAAAAAUCUGUGUGUGGAAGAGUUGAAACUCAGGUUUUGGAACUAAAUUAUGUUGAUUUAAUGUCAGAAUUUUAAACAGAACUUUCCUGUUUAAGUUCUGACAUUCUGAAUAAUUGAUCGAAGACCUAACUUUUUUUUAUUCUUUGGUGCCCCAGACAAGGUUAUACUCAUGUACUGUGGGGUUUAAGUUAAAGAUAAUUUUGUGCAGAUUUCAACUGGAAGAUAGAUUUUGCAGAAUCGGUAGCUCUGAUCUCAGCAUAAAAUCAGGUCAAGAAAAUAAGCACAUAAACUGUGAACUAUUUUUUCACCCUAGGUGGGACAGAGACCAGAUACUCUAUUAACAGAAUUUGUCUGCAAAUUGUUUUUCUUUAUGCCAUUUGUUCAUAUCUGAAUAGCAAAGAUGGAGAGGCUUUAGUGCAGUAUGACUGCAGUUAACAGUUUGAAAGCAAAUAUGUGCUGGAGGAAUGCCAAAGGUGGGUCUCGUGCUUUUAUAUUUCCUUAGUUAACAGCGUAUCCUUAUAUACAGAGAGCCCUAUCUGUAAAUGUUACGUAUCUUCUUAUUAACAAAGACUUCAGCCCUCAGUAGAAUGAAGUCGUUCCUCAAUGUAAAGUUGUAUGAGAAUCUAGAAAGAAACUUCCACACUCUGUGAAAAGUGUGAAUACUGUGCUGAGUUUUCUGUCCAGACAGAAAAAUACCAGGGUCAGUAGUUGGUGAAGUGCCCGACCCCAGUGCACGCCCGUUCCGCGCGUGGUUACUGAGUCGUGCUGAUACUUUGAACAGCCACCAGGUGGCAGCAUAAGUGUGAAAUAACGCUCGUUUAAUCACAUUGCAAACUUUCUAGCAAGUUAGUCCGAACAUGUCUGGAUUCUCCUUUAUACAAAAAUCCUUAGUUCACUGCCACUAGACACUCAGGUAACGCGUAAAUGGCAAAUUCUUACUGGAUUAAGGACCAGGGUUGAAUACACAGAUAUAUACUGUUUGGGGAAUCUGUCGGAAGUCUCGUAUUGUUGGGUGAAGCUGGGGAAAUGUAUGUUGACAUGUGAUUAUUAUGUAAUGGCAAAGAUUGCAGGGUUUGUUAGUUGGUUGGGUUUUUUUGGCUUCCUCCCUGCGGUUAGUUUGGGGAGGAGCUGAGAACGCUGCUGUGGAAUAGCAGACUUCCAGUUUUGUUAGUGGUGCCAUUGGCAGAUUUUUGAAAUAAGUGAAAAAAGGUGACAUAAAUAAGUGUAGUAAUGACCUUUUGAAGUACAGUAGGUAGGAAAAAUAAUGAUCAUCAGAUGAGUCAACUGGAAAUAAAAAUCACAUCUUUAAACCUAUGCAGCAAGUUAAUGGCAAAGCCUGAAACAGAACUGACUAGCUUAUUCUCAUACCUGUGUCAAUUUCUUGAGGAUAUGCUUGCAUCUGUUGGGUAGAAGAGACAAAAGCAGUCUUAGACUCUGUUAAUAUUUUGAUUUAAGGCAAAUAUCCUUUGUCUUGUGCUUUCUAUUAAUGAAUGAGAAUUUGAUUUGUCAUGUAUCUGAUGAAACUGGAUUGUGAAUAUAUGUUGUGGUGGCACUUCUCCCCCUUUUCUGGGCUGUUCUACGACCUCAGGAGCUGCCAGCCAGGCCUUGGCACCUUGAGUAACAAGCUGGUUGGUCACACAUCCCUUGACUGUAUAAGUAACUCCUACUCAGCUAAGGCAGAAAAUGGCACGUACUGGAACUCCUGUGGACUGGUCAAAGCGGGGAAGAGGAAUGGAAACUAUCAGUUACUCCCUGACAACCCUGCAAUGCGCCUGCCAGAUCACAGCCUGAGCGGUAACUGGGUGAAAUAAUAUAUUGUUCCUAGAAUUGUAGAGAAAAAUACCAAUUUAGGUUGCGGUUGUGAUGGAAAUUUGCUGAUGAUUGAAGCCAGUUGUCUCACAGCCUUAUAAACGGUGGUCCUAGACCCUUUUAAGCUCUCCUGGGCUGCAGCAGGCUGUGACCAGCAUCCCCCUCUGAGUGGGAUGCCUCUCAGAGCUCACAAACCACUAAGUUUGCAAUGCUACAGGGACUGUUGUGGAAAAUUGGUGAUGGGGCCUGGGCUGAUACCCCUGCUUCUCGGGGCUUAACCCUUUGCCUGUUGAGGAAUGCAGAAGCAUAAGACAUGAGUAUUUUACUGAACUCAAGGCCAAAGUUCGAAGUUUUAGUGGGUAUACCUUUGUUGUAACAUAUAUUGAAGGCUUGAGGUAGUAAGGUUAAUUAUGUAAUUUUUGUGACUUCAAACAAAUUUUAUUGAUUUGCUGCUAAAAUCUUAUGAAUAAUCUUGAAUUGUGAACAAACUUUCUCUCUCUCUCUCCCCUUUAGAUCUAAUCCGUUGUCCAAGUCUAAGACUAGGAAUAGGUCCAGCCGCACCUAAACUCUGUGAAAGUUUAGAAAACAAGGGGGUCUACUCUAAACCUUGUGACUCAAUGGGAAGAUCUUCUUUACCCUUUUAUACCUUUGAUCUCUGUAAACGGUUUCCAACUCUGUUCUGACUUAUUUCGGCUUGAUUUAUCUCUGUGCUUUUACUCCGUGUAAUAAGUAAUAGUGUGAACCUUGCCAUUGGAUCUUGUGCAGUUGCAUUUCCACAAAUUUAUAUUAAACCUAUUUCACUCA